rnacentral:rRNA from 1 species
GACGAACGCUGGCGGCGUGCUUAACACAUGCAAGUCGAGCGGAAAGGCCACUUCGGUGGUACUCGAGCGGCGAACGGGUGAGUAACACGUGAGUAAUCUGCCCCUGGCUUUGGGAUAGCCACCGGAAACGGUGAUUAAUACCGGAUACGACCACUUGUCGCAUGAUGGGUGGUGGAAAGUUUUUCGGCCAGGGAUGUGCUCGCGGCCUAUCAGCUUGAUGGUGAGGUAAUGGCUCACCAUGGCUUCGACGGGUAGCCGGCCUGAGAGGGUGACCGGUCACACGGGGACUGAGACACGGCCGAGACUCCUACGGAAGGCAGCAGUGGGGAAUAUUGGACAAUGGGCGGAAGCCUGAUCCAGCAACGCCGCGUGAGGGAUGACGGCCUUCGGGUUGUAAACCUCUUUCAGCAGGGACGAAGCGCAAGUGACGGUACCUGCAGAAGAAGCACCGGCCAACUACGUGCCAGCAGCCGCCGUAAUAC